UGGGGAAUUUUGGACAAUGGACGCAAGUCUGAUCCAGCCAUGCCGCGUGCGGGAAGAAGGCCUUCGGGUUGUAAACCGCUUUUGUCAGGGAAGAAAUCUUCUGGGUUAAUACCUCGGGAGGAUGACGGUACCUGAAGAAUAAGCACCGGCUAACUACGUGCCAGCAGCCGCGGUAAUACGUAGGGUGCAAGCGUUAAUCGGAAUUACUGGGCGUAAAGCGUGCGCAGGCGGUUAUGCAAGACAGGUGUGAAAUCCCCGAGCUCAACUUGGGAACUGCACUUGUGACUGCAUAGCUAGAGUACGGUAGAGGGGAGUGGAAUUCCGCGUGUAGCAGUGAAAUGCGUAGAUAUGCGGAGGAACACCGAUGGCGAAGGCAACUCCCUGGACCUGUACUGACGCU
rnacentral:rRNA from 1 species